rnacentral:rRNA from 1 species
UACGAAGGGUGCAAGCGUUGUUCGGAAUCAUUGGGCGUAAAGCGCGCGCAGGCGGAUCAGCAAGUCAGAUGUGAAAUCUCGAAGCUCAACUUCGAAACUGCGUCUGAAACUGCUAGUCUAGAAUAUCGGAGGGGGCAGGGGAAUUUCACGUGUAGGGGUAAAAUCCGUAGAGAUGUGAAGGAACACCGGGGGCGAAGGCGCCUGCCUGGACGAUUAUUCACGCUGAGGCGCGAAAGCGUGGGGAGCAAACAGG